rnacentral:rRNA from 1 species
GACGUAGGGGGCGAGCGUUUAUUCGGAAUCAUUGGGCGUAAAGAGUUCGUAGGUGGUUUGAAAAGUCGGUGAAGAAAGACCUGGGCUCAACUCAGGGAACGGCACCGAUACUUUUGAACUUGAGGCAAUCAGAGGGUAAUGGAAUUCCUGGUGUAGCGGUGAAAUGCGUAGAUAUCAGGAGGAACAUCAGUGGCGAAGGCGGCUCACUGGACCGUAACUGACGCUCAUGCACGACAGCGUGGGGGAUCAAACAGG